GUCUGUGGCCAUGCCACUCUGAAUAAGCUCGGUGUUUGAUCUCGGAAGCUAAGCAGGGUCAGGCCUGGUUAGUACUUGGAUGGGAGACCACCCAGGAAGACCAGGUGCUGUAGGCA
rnacentral:rRNA from 1 species